UGUCCUGCCACCGCUCUGAGCCUCGGACCCUCUCGGGCGCGGGGCUGUGGCGGGUCUGG
rnacentral:precursor_RNA from 1 species